rnacentral:rRNA from 1 species
AUUGAACGCUGGCGGCAGGCUUAACACAUGCAAGUCGAGCGAGCGGCGGACGGGUGAGUAAUGUCUGGGAAACUGCCUGAUGGAGGGGGAUAACUACUGGAAACGGUAGCUAAUACCGCAUACCAUCAGAUGUGCCCAGAUGGGAUUGGCUAGUAGGUGGGGUAACGGAUCACCUAGGCGACGAUCCCUAGCUGGUCUGAGAGGAUGAACAACCAACGUGGAACUGCGACACGGUCCAGACUCCUACGUGAGGCAGCAGUGGGGAAUAAUGCACAAGGGGCGCAAGCCUGAUGCAGCCAUGCCGCGUGUUUGAAGAAGGCCUGCGGGUUGUAAAGCACUUUCAGCGAGGAGGCGUUACUCGCAGAAGAAGCACCGGCUAACGCCGUGCCAGCAGCCGCGGUAAUUC